GGUAGCUAAUACCGCAUAACGUCGCAAGACCAANAGGGGGACCUUCGGGCCUCUUGCCAUCGGAUGUGCCCAGAUGGGAUUAGCUAGUAGGUGGGGUAAAGGCUCACCUAGGCGACGAUCCCUAGCUGGUCUGAGAGGAUGACCAGCCACACUGGAACUGAGACACGAUCCAGACUCCUACGGGAGGCAGCAUG
rnacentral:rRNA from 1 species